ensembl:lncRNA
CCGCCUCUCUCGUGAAUGAAGUGCGGCGCGCAGUUUGGAGGAUCUUAGUUUGUUUGCAGUAUGAAGAUGGAUAGAUGCCAUUUCUACGAAACGCUACUAUCAGUGCAACCUGUGAUGAUUUAUCCUGUUCUUCAUUGAUGUAGCCACAGAUGAACUGUUUGAAGAAAGCUUGCGGUGCCUCAAGCGUGCCGAGCUUCAUUUCCUCCUGUGAGACAGCCAUGCCCUGAGAAUAAGUGGAUGACACUCAGACAUUGUUUUCGUGUGCUGGUGAUGUGCUGGUAGAGCUGACCCUUAGUACAGCUUCCUACUCUGACAGCCAGGGGCCGUUAAGGGCCAUGUGGGCCCGGCUGCAGCUGCUCCACUCUCCUUGCCCACUCAGCAGGCACACUGUGCCCUUUGAGCCCACCUGCCAUUCAAUCCAGCACAGGUGAACAGAUGUAGGGCCAGCAGUGGAAAUCAGCAAGGAAACCCCACACUAUUCAAUGUGAUUUUAAUCAGCGGCUCUCCUCCUGACCCAUUUAUUUCUGCACUGAGCUGAUUGCGUUGGCUGCCGCAGACGAGCCCGACCCACGACACGCCAUAAUUACCCAUCACAUCAUAUAUGUCCUACAACCAUCAUAGAGCAACUCAUAAUCUCAAAAUUACUGUACUCUGGGCAAAGUGGAUCACUCUUUCAGUCAAAUCAAACUUUCAGGGUUGUUAUUGUCAGAUUUCCCAUCCCUGGCGUAUCAUCAGCUCGACUCGUUUUAUUCAGCCCUGGCUACCCAGCCGUCGUACUCUUUUAGUCAGUUGCGUCUGUAGUGGGAAUCAAUAUGCAGAUAUGCGUGGAAAAUUGUACCGGGCUGGCUGAUAAUGAGAUUUUACUGUGAAGACAAAGCCCCUGGGUGCAGUGAUUGGUAUCUGAGAGAGUCCACACUGUCCUCAGCGCUCGCUCCCUUGAGACCGUCACAGUGCUAACAUGUCUUCUGUUUUAGCUGCACGAAGCUAAAAGUGCAGCUUAAUGGAUUGAACACCGAACAACGAACCUUUUUGCAGGGUGUUCGGUACACAACAUUUUUGGGUCUGUAGGGCA